GCCUAUUACAUAUGGAAAAAAGCAAUGCUCUGUGAUUGAACAGACACAGCCUGUUCUUCUAGUAGGGAAGAGAGUUCAUUUGUGGAAGAUGGACAGAUCAAGGAAUCUUUCUGCGAUCAAUUAAGAAUUUCUUACUCUGAUGCCAACUGGAUGUAUACAAGUUAUCAUUAGUGUUCCGGUGAUCAAUCACAUUUCUACAGGAAGUAUGCAGGAGAAGUACAUGGACAUCCUUCCUGGGACAACUAUGUACCUAUCAGCCAGGGGGUAGGAUGUCCGGUAUCAAGGAUACCUUCAGCAGCUGUACAGAAGAUAACUUUUGGCAGAUUUCAUCGGUCAUGUCAGAAUACAGCUUCUCUUUAUGUCCCCUCUUAUAUGACAGG